rnacentral:rRNA from 1 species
GUCGAACGCUGGCGGCGUGCCUAAUACAUGCAAGUAGAACGCAGUUGCGCACGGGUGAGUAACGCGUAUGUAACCUGCCUCAUAGCGGGGGAUAACUAUUUGAAACGAUAGCUUAUACCGCAUACUUUGAGCUGGACCUGCGUGUGAUUAGCUAGUUGGUGAGUUAAAGGCUCACCACGGCGACGAUACAUAGCCGACCUGAGAGGGUGAUCGGCCACACUGGGACUGAGCCACGGCCCAGAAUCCGACGGGAGGCAGCAGUAGGGAAUCUUCGGCAAUGGACGAAAGUCUGAUCGAGCAACGCCGCGUGAGUGAAGAAGGUUUUCGGAUCGUAAAACUCUGUUGGUAGGGAAGCGGUAUCUAACCAGAAAGCCACGGCUAACUACGUGCCAGCAGCCGCGGUAAUAC